rnacentral:snoRNA from 1 species
GACCUCUCAGGAUCACAUCUGGAGAGUUACCAGUCUUGACUUUGGGAGGGAGAAUCAAGCAGAGGUCUACCCAUUCCAUUCCUAGCUUGGGCAGUGGCUAGGGAGUGGAAGACAAUCUACUACAAAU